UUAUCAGCCUUGUUACAAGAUUGUGCUAACAAGUUUGUUACAGUCAUGAUAUAACAAGGAUGCUACAAGGUUGUCAACAUAAGGUUGUAACAAUCUUGUUAUAUCAAGCAUGUCACAAACUUGUCAGAACAACCUUGCAACAAGUCUGAUAA
rnacentral:miRNA from 1 species